GGCGGAUUGGAGCCUCUUUGUUCUCAAUGACGCAGAGGGUAGUUUUGUGAUAUGGCCACGUGCUUGGGUGCGAUUUACAGAUGAGGCUUUGCAGAAAACAAAAAAGGCAAAAAAUGUGAAGAAUUUGGAUGUGAACAAAGAGGUGGGCUCAAAAGCUAACAGUAACAAGGCGGAAUCACAACCUAUUCCUGCAAUUGUAGGAAAGAUUUCAUCCAAGGGCUCAUCUCCUGAUGCGACACCAAAAGGAACGCCACUUGUGAGUGAGCAAGUGAUCCAAUCUCUUAGCAAGUCAUGUCUUUGGCUACAUGCUCGGUUAGCAACUUGCCGAUUCUUCCCCAAUAAAGGUGGAUUUGGAGAAGUCUCAAUUCCACUACCUAGGUGAAGAUUCAGCUACUUGGGUAUAUAAAGUGGAUAU